AGCAGGGCUGGCCUGGGUUUGGGGGGCUCCAGAUGGGGUCCUGGCGCCCUGCUCAUCAAGCUCUGCUCUCAGAAGCUGCAGCUUCAGGAGCAGAGACUCAAGCUUGGGAAAGAGCACAGACAUUACAAAACAGGGCCACCUUUACCAGGGACUGCUUGAGUGAUUACCAGGUUCUACAUUAGAUGUUGGAAUGAAACAAUGAAUAAGGCAAAAAGGACGUGGUGUCUACAGUGAAGGAGACACUCACGUGAAUGCCCACCUAAUGUGCUGUGUUUCAGAGGCUGAGAAAGGUGAGCCAGACAGAACCAUGGAAGGAGUGUCAAUUCUGCUGAAACGAGGGGCCAGAGAAGGGAAAUCAAAGAAGACUGUAUUGGGAAUGUGGGAUUAGCAAAUACACACAUACUGUAUAUAAAAUAAACAAGGUCCUACUGUAUAG
rnacentral:lncRNA from 1 species